CUGGACCUCAGCUCAGGCGUGACUACCCGCUGAAUUUAAGCAUAUCAAUAAGCGGAGGAAAAGAAACCAACAGGGAUUCCCCCAGUAACGGCGAGCGAAGCGGGAAUAGCUCGAGCCUUAAAUCUCCGGCGAGCAGCCGGCGAAUUGUAGCCGAGAGAGGCACCUACGCUCGGCAGGCGGUCGGCCAAAGUUG
rnacentral:rRNA from 1 species